CCUACGGGAGGCUGCAGUGAGGAAUAUUGGUCAAUGGGCGAGAUCCUGAACCAGCCAAGCAGCGUGCGGGAUGAAGGCCCUAUGGGUUGUAAACCGCUUUUGCCGGGGGACAACACCCGCCACGUGUCGCGGUCUGCAGGUAUCCGGCGAAAAAGCGUCGGCUAACUCCGUGCCAGCAGCCGCGGUAAUACGGAGGCUCCGAGCGUUAUCCGGAUUCAUUGGGUUUAAAGGGAGCGUAGGCGGGCGGUUAAGUCAGCGGUAAAAUUGCGGGGCUCAACCCCGUCCAGCCGUUGAAACUGGACGCCUUGAGUUGGCGACAGGCACGCGGAAUGCGUGGUGUAGCGGUGAAAUGCAUAGAUAUCGCGAAGAACCCCGAUUGCGAAGGCAGCGUACCGGCGCCCGACUGACGCUGAGGCACGAAAGUGCGGGGAUCGAACAGGAUUAGAUACCCGUGUAGUC
rnacentral:rRNA from 1 species